rnacentral:rRNA from 1 species
UGGGGAAUUUUGGACAAUGGGCGAAAGCCUGAUCCAGCAAUGCCGCGUGUGUGAAGAAGGCCUUCGGGUUGUAAAGCACUUUUGUCCGGAAAGAAAUCCUUGGCUCUAAUACAGUCGGGGGAUGACGGUACCGGAAGAAUAAGCACCGGCUAACUACGUGCCAGCAGCCGCGGUAAUACGUAGGGUGCAAGCGUUAAUCGGAAUUACUGGGCGUAAAGCGUGCGCAGGCGGUUUGCUAAGACCGAUNUGAAAUCCCCGGGCUCAACCUGGGAACUGCAUUGGUGACUGGCAGGCUAGAGUAUGGCAGAGGGGGGUAGAAUUCCACGUGUAGCAGUGAAAUGCGUAGAGAUGUGGAGGAAUACCGAUGGCGAAGGCAGCCCCCUGGGCCAAUACUGACGCUCAUGCACGAAAAGCGUGGGGAGCAAAACAGGAUUAGAUACCCUGGUAGUCCACGCCCUAAACGAUGUCAACUAGUUGUUGGGGAUUCAUUUCCUUAGUAACGUAGCUAACGCGUGAAGUUGACCGCCUGGGGAGUACGGUCGCAAGAUUAAAACUCAAAGAAUUGACGGGGUCAU